rnacentral:rRNA from 1 species
GACGAACGCUGGCGGCGUGCUUAACACAUGCAAGUCGAACGGAAAGGCCCUUCGGGGUGCUCGAGUGGCGAACGGGUGAGUAACACGUGGGUGAUCUGCCCUGCACUUUGGGAUAAGCCUGGGAAACUGGGUCUAAUACCGAAUAGGACUCCGGCCUUCAUGGGUUGGGGUGGAAAGCUUUUGCGGUGUGGGAUGGGCCCGCGGCCUAUCAGCUUGUUGGUGGGGUAAUGGCCUACCAAGGCGACGACGGGUAGCCGGCCUGAGAGGGUGACCGGCCACACUGGGACUGAGAUACGGCCCAGACUCCUACGGGAGGCAGCAGUGGGGAAUAUUGCACAAUGGGCGCAAGCCUGAUGCAGCGACGCCGCGUGAGGGAUGACGGCCUUCGGGUUGUAAACCUCUUUCAGCACAGACGAAGCGCAAGUGNCGGUAUGUGCAGAAGAAGGACCGGCCAACUACGUGC